rnacentral:rRNA from 1 species
GCGGCCUAUCAGCUUGUUGGUGAGGUAAUGGCUCACCAAGGCGACGACGGGUAGCCGGCCUGAGAGGGCGACCGGCCACACUGGGACUGUGACACGGCCCAGACUCCUACGGGAGGCAGCAGUGGGGAAUAUUGGGCAAUGGAGGGAACUCUGACCCAGCGACGCCGCGUGCGGGAUGAAGGCCUUCGGGUUGUAAACCGCUUUCAGCAAGGAAGAAGCGAAAGUGACGGUACUUGCAGAAGAAGCACCGGCUAACUAUGUGCCAGCAGCCGCGGUAAUACAUAGGGUGCAAGCGUUGUCCGGAAUUAUUGGGCGUAAAGAGCUCGUAGGUGGUUCGUCACGUCGGAUGUGAAAAUCUGGGGCUUAACCCCAGACCUGCAUUCGAUACGGGCGAGCUAGAGUGUGGUAGGGGAGACUGGAAUUCCU